rnacentral:rRNA from 1 species
ACAAUAAACUAACGAAACAAGCAGACCCCACCCUUACCUCCUCUCCUCGUCUCCGCCACUUCCCCCUUCCCUCCCUCCCGCCCCCACCAAAUCUGGGAGUUCCCAGACGCCAUUGCCCACCUUUUUCNNNGAGCACAAGGAAAGCACGCCAGCAAGAGAAGGAGCAGCAGAGGCUGCACGGCAGAAUUACCGUGAGCAAUUCGGAAGCCGCGCCGGAGCCCGGUCGAAUCGGGCCGCGGCGAGGGGAAAUGUCCGGCUUCGUCGGGGUCGUCGUCUCCGACCCCUCCCUGCAGGGCCAGUUCACGCAGGUGGAGCUCCGAUCGCUCAAGGCCAAGUUCGUGUCUCUGAAGAGGGACUCCGGCCAUGUCACCACCAAGAACCUCCCGGGGCUGAUGAAGAAGCUCAGGGGACUUCACGAAGUGGUCCCUGAGGAGGAGAUCGCCGCCUUCUUGUCGGAGUCGUACCCUGACAGCGACCAGGAGAUUGAGUUCGAGUCCUUCCUCCGGGAGUACCUGAAUCUGCAAGCAAGGGUGAGCGCCAAGGAAGGAAGCGCCGCUGCCGGCGGCGGCGGGGCUGGCGGCCGCAAGAACUCGUCGUCGUUCCUCAAAUCCACCAUCACUACGCUGCUGCACAAUCUCAACCAGGCGGAGAAGUCUUCUUACGUGGCGCAUAUUAACACUUACCUUGGUGAAGACCCAUUCUUGAAGAAGUACUUGCCAAUCGACCCAUCCGGCAACCAGCUAUUCGAUCUUAUUCGGGAUGGUGUCCUGCUCUGUAAGUUGAUCAAUGUAGCUGUACCUGGGACCAUUGAUGAGAGAGCAAUAAAUAAGAAAAGAGUUCUUAACCCAUGGGAGAGGAAUGAAAACCACACACUGUGCCUCAACUCUGCAAAGGCCAUUGGAUGUACUGUUGUCAACAUUGGCACCCAGGAUUUAGUGGAAGGAAGGCCUCAUUUAGUUCUUGGAUUGAUAUCUCAAAUCAUAAAGAUUCAACUUUUGGCUGAUCUUAAUCUUAAGAAGACACCCCAGCUUGUGGAAUUGUUUGAUGACAGUAAGGAUAUAGAUGAAGUGUUGAGCUUGUCACCAGAAAAGAUGCUGCUUCGAUGGAUGAACCAUCAUCUGAAAAAGGCUGGCUACAAGAAAACUGUCAACAAUUUCUCUUCGGAUGUGAAGGAUGGUGAAGCCUAUGCUUAUCUUCUAAAAGCUCUUGCUCCAGAGACUUCCCCUGAAACCACACUGGUGACCAAGGAUCCUGAUGAAAGGGCAAAAAUGGUACUUGAACAAGCAGAGAAGUUGGACUGCAAAAGAUACCUUACACCAAAGGAUAUCACUGAGGGUUCUGCCAACUUGAAUCUUGCAUUUGUUGCACAAAUAUUCCAGCAUCGGAAUGGUCUAACUAGUGACAUUAAACAAGUUACACUCACACAGACAGCAUCACGUGAUGAUGUUCUAGUAUCCAGAGAAGAAAGGGCCUUCCGAAUGUGGAUCAACAGCCUUGGGGUCGAGUCAUACGUGAAUAAUGUUUUUGAAGAUGUUCGCAAUGGAUGGGUACUUCUUGAAGUACUUGACAAAGUUUCUCCUGGAUCUGUCAAUUGGAAGUUGGCAUCAAAACCUCCAAUUAAGUUGCCAUUUAGGAAACUGGAGAACUGCAAUCAAGUUGUAAAAAUUGGGAAGGAGUUAAAGUUUUCAUUAGUAAAUUUAGCUGGGAAUGAUAUUGUUCAGGGAAAUAAGAAAUUGAUAGUUGCACUUCUGUGGCAAUUGAUGAGAUUUAAUAUCCUUCAAUUGCUAAACAGACUGAGAUCCCACUCCAAAGGAUCCCAAGGAAAGCAAAUUACUGAUGCAGAUAUACUGAACUGGGCAAACAGCAAAGUGAAAGCAUCAGGAAGAACAUCUCGAAUGGAAAGCUUCAAGGAUAAGAGUUUAUCAAAUGGAGUGUUCUUCCUCGAACUUCUUAGUGCAGUUCAGCCAAGGGUUGUGAACUGGAAAGUAGUUACAAAGGGAGAAGCUGACGAGGAAAAGAAGCUAAAUGCUACCUACAUCAUUAGUGUUGCAAGAAAGCUCGGAUGUUCUGUGUUUCUACUGCCAGAGGACAUUAUAGAGGUGAACCAGAAGAUGAUCCUAACUCUUACAGCUAGCAUCAUGUAUUGGAGCCUGCUGAGACAACCACAGCCUGAAAUAUCUGAAGCAUCAGAGCCAUCUAGCAUGGCUUCGGACGCAACUUCUGACAUUGGCUCGGAGGAUGGUGCCUCAACAGCAGCACCGUCCGAGAGCGAAGAGGCAAACUCACUGUCCGAUAGUCUAUCCACCCUGACCACAGACGACGCCACCUCAAAUGCUCCAGCUGCAGAAAACGGGAGCGACACCACCUCGAAUGCUCCAGCUGCAGAAAACGGGACCGGCGCCACCCCAGAUGCUCCACCUGCAGAAAACGGGAACAACGCCACCCCAGAUGCUCCACCUGCAGAAAACGGGAACGACGCCACAUGAUCCUGAUGGUUAUAUUUUCAUCCGUAGCACUGUCCAUCAAUUAGCUUUAUAUACAAGGGUUGGUACCAAAAGUUGCUGCUGCUACCAGAAGUGAUUUUUUCUCUUUUCAGGUAGCAUAAUAGGUACACACCAUCAUACAGAUAGAUCGUAGCCGCCGUUUGUUCAUUAAGUUAAAUUUUGCUGAAUAGUAAGUACUAUACGGGAGAAAGAGAGAGAAAUACAGACACAUACAUAUAGUAGGCCGCCGGUUGGUUUGGUUGGCUGGCCAUUUCCUGUACACUCUUUAGUGCACAGCUCCAUUGCUCAACUCGUGCCUUGUCGGUCCGUCCAUGUGCUCCGUAUUUUUUUUCCUUCCAGUUUGCUGUACUGCUUGGACCAUUAUCGUUUUUGUACCAAACUGUCGUCGCUGCUGUGGAGUGUGGACCAUGCAUGGUGAGCUGUACAUAAACAUGUUGAUUUCUGGCAUGCCAAGGUAUCGUUGUACACAUUAUGGUAGCACAGUAGUACUCCCUCUUUAAACUAAUAUUAGAGCUUUUAGACUACUAAGACUAGCCAUAGUGGAGUAACUUCGAUAGUAACAUCGAGUCUAACU